CGUAGGCAGCGAGCGUUGUUCGGAGUUACUGGGCGUAAAGCGUGCGUAGGCGGUCUUGUAAGUCUGGUGUGAAAUCUCCCGGCUCAACUGGGAGGGUGCGCCGGAAACUGCAAGGCUGGAGUAUGGGAGAGGUAGGCGGAAUUCCUGGUGUAGCGGUGAAAUGCGUAGAUAUCAGGAGGAACACCUGUGGUGUAGACGGCUUACUGGACCAUGACUGACGCUGAGGCACGAAAGCGUGGGGAGCAAACAGGAUUAGAUACCCUGGUAGUCCACGCCCUAAACGACGCAUACUUGGUGUGGGUAAUUCAUUUUAUCUGUGCCGGAGCUAACGCGUUAAGUAUGCCGCCUGGGGAGUACGGUCGCAAGGCUG
rnacentral:rRNA from 1 species